GUGCUCACUUCAGCAGCACAUAUAAUAAAAUUGGAAUGACACAGGAAAGAUUAGCAUGUCCCCUGCACAAGGAUGGCAAACAAAUUUGUGAAGUGUUCCAUAAAAAA
ensembl:snRNA U6 U6 spliceosomal RNA